GAUGAACGCUGGCGGCGUGCCUAAUACAUGCAAGUCGAGCGAACAGAUGAGGAGCUUGCUCCUUUGACGUUAGCGGCGGACGGGUGAGUAACACGUGGGUCACCUACCUAUAAGACUGGGAUAACUUCGGGAAACCGGAGCUAAUACCGGAUAAUAUUUCGAACAGUAUGGUUCGAUAGUGAAAGAUGGCUUUGCUAUCACUUAUAGAUGGACCUGCGCCGUAUUAGCUAGUUGGUAAGGUAACGGCUUACCAAGGCAACGAUACGUAGCCGACCUGAGAGGGUGAGCGGCCACACUGGAACUGAGACACGGUCCAGACUCCUACGGGAGGCAGCAGUAGGGAAUCUUCCGCAAUGGGCGAAAUCCGGACGGAGCAACGCCGCCUGAGUGAUGAAGGUCUUCGGAUCGUAAAACUCUGUUAUUAGGGAAGAACAAACGUGUAAGUAACUGUGCACGUCUUGACGGUACCUAAUCAGAAAGCCACGGCUAACUACGUG
rnacentral:rRNA from 1 species